rnacentral:sRNA from 1 species
UCAGGGGGAGGGCCACUUCGUCGGAGCCGGGGAACCAAUGGUUCCCGGGGUGAAUCGACGCCAGGGGCGGGCCGGUGCGACUCCGGGCCGAGUGAGGCGUCGUAGGACCUGCUUCCUGGUCCGAACCCGUCAGCUCACCCGGUAGGCGGACGUAGGAAGAAGGA